UGGAUAAGUUCAGCAGUUGAUUUUAAUGACCUGUUCAAUCGAACUUUUUAUUAAUAAAUUAUUUAGUCUGAGAAUUCACGUGGCUGAGUCGAGAAAUACAGAGCAUAUAAAUGUUACGAAAACAAGCAAGACAACGAAGAGAAUUCCUAUAUAACAAGUCAUUAAAUGAACGGAUUUUAACAAAAAAAAAGAAUAUGAAGCUCAUUACUGAAAACUUAAAAGAUAAAACAUCGUUUGGGUCCUUAAAUAUAUUAGACGGCAUUAACAUGUAUAAUUCUCUUAAAUUUUAUAAAGGUCUUUGAUUACCUCUGGAACAUAAAAUAAUAUUCUGUUAUCAUUUGUUUUCCUAUAAACUAUACCUGUGCGGAGUCCCAAACUGCCCGUAGAUAUGAUGCGGCCUGCGGCGUGGUUACCAACCGAUGCAGCUUUGAGGGUUUUGCACGAUUGUUGGGGAUGUUGAGAGCAUACGUCCGGUUACUUGGACUAACGCUCACAGACUUCACCACGUGGCGCAAAUUCCGCUGUUACUAAGCUAGCGAAUUCAAAAGCUCAAUAGAAUUAAAAAAAAACAAGAAAGUAAGAUAACUUAAAGCAACAGGAUUUAAAGUUCGAGAGCUUGAGAGGGUCACUAAAUUCAACACACUCAACCGUGUUAGCGGCUGAUCCAUUGAGUGAUAAGACAUUACUCAAUGCGGCUGAUCUAAGCACAUGCGCUCUCUUAUAAUAUACGCUCUUAGUCCGGCGCGACUGCUCUUUAGAUAUAUGCGAAACCUGCGUGAUGAAUUAAACAAGUGUUUCCAGUUCCAAACUAUGAUACUUUGAUUCUGUUUCCGUUGUGCGUUUCGAGAAGUAAGUAUCAUCUUUCCUUUGCAUUAAUACCGCACCAAAUCGUUAGGCACUGGCAUAUCAAUGUAGUUUUAUUUCAUCCUUAUUAUUAGAAAGUGCUAAUAUUGGAGAUCCCAUUAAUUUAUUUUUAUGCGUCAAGAAACAAUUUAAUUCAUUGUCUUUGAACUAAAACUGCUUAUCAUUUCUUAAUAGGUCGUAUAACGACUUGGCUAUUGUUGAAAAAUCUUUUAUUAAUUCACGAAAAUAUCAGCAAAAGCCCAGAAAACUCUGAACAGCAUGUGUUAUGUGCAACUGGAAAAUAUUUAUUAGCUUCUUCUGCAUCCGCUCUUAUACCUUCUUUUGCUGUUAAAGAACCUAAAUAUAUUAUACUUGACUGCAUAAAUUCACACUUAUCCAUCCGUAAUUCUAACUUGUUUUGCACCGAUCUACUAAAUGCUUUUUUUAAUGUUUCCAAAUGUUCGUCCAUGUUUUUGCUUGCUACCAUUAUAUCAACCAUGUAUACAAUUACCCGAUUCUCUCUAAUUAAAUCUGCAAAUAUUUUAUUUACAAACCGUUGAAAUACUGCUCUCGUAUGGCCCUAGAGGUGUGACGAAUGAUGUGUACUUGAUUGAUUCCUUGUCUACAAAAACAUGGAAAUAUCCAUUCUUUAGGUCCAGUUAUGAAAAACGCUUUUAUUUACUAAUUUGUCUAACAUCUAUCAGUGGCAGAGGAUAAUUACCUUAUACAGUUGCCUAUAAUCUAUGCACAGUCUCAUAUCCCCCGACUACUUCUUGACUAGCACUAUUGGCGAUGCAUCUUCGGAGUCACUACGUCGUAUAGUUCCCUUUUUCAAAUAUUCAUCCAAAAGUCCUUGUAGUUUGUCUUUUUCUAUAUAUGAAAGUCGCCUAAGUGCACAGCUAAACGGUUUUAAUGGUUUAAUGGUUCAAGUUAAGUUUAAUUUCACAUUUUGUAUCAGGUACAUCUGGUCUCUUUGCGAUUAAAUAACUACAUUCAAUUAAUUUUCUAAAUUUGCAUUUUGUCUCGUAGUUUACUGUCUCGCCACAAUUAUAUUCAGCUAUCAUAUUUUCAGUAAAAUUUAUAUUGAACAUGACUUUAUCAAAACUUUCUUUGUAUAGGCA